ACCAAUGAGGGCGCGCGCGGAGCGGUGUGUGCUGUCUCGUGUUGCCGUGAACGGGAUAUUUUAGGAGGCUGGAGAGCAGCGAGCGUCUCACCCCCGGAGGAGCCGGAGCUGGCUGUCUGUCUGCCCGUGUGCGUGUGUCUGUCUGCAGGGACCGAGGGAGGCGCUGACUUCAGGCCGAGCAGGAGCGUCGCUGAGUCGGUGUGAGGACGGUAGAUGUCGCGCCAAGGAGCGGAGGACAUCCACGGAGAGAGAGGCUUUCACUGGGAUUUACUGAACGGCUGCGGGACACAUUUACUCAAAGGAGCCUGAGGGCGAUGUGGAGGCUCAGAUCGGCUCAGACACACUGAUUCAAACUCCGGUUAGAGAGCUGAGCGUCGGCUGUGGAGCGUCAGCAGCAGCAGCCCCUUCCCUGUGAGAGAGACCAAACCAUUCAACAACGUCGAAAGUUGCUUACUUCAAGAGGAAAUAUGCGGAGGAGGAGGAUUUACGAGGAGGCCUACGUGGAUAUUUUCAAAAACACCUGAUACUGCAGGAGGACCGGAGCUGCAUCCUGAAGCUGUCCCUGGAGAAGCUGAGGUUCCUGGAGGACCCUGAGGCCUACCUGCGGCGCUCCGUCCUCAUCAACAACCUGCUGAGGAAGAUCCACCAUGAGGAAGAGGAGCUGGAGGCGGAAGAAGAGGAGGAAGAAGAAGAAGAAGAAGAAGAAGAAGAAGAAGAUGAAGUAGAAGAGGAAGAAGAAGAAGAGGAAGAGGAAGAGGAGGUGAUAGGUGAGAGGGGGCAGCGGAGGCUGUUGUACCCGGACAGGAAGAGGGUGAAGGUGCUGGUGAUGGACUGCCGCUCUCCGGGCUUCGGCCUGGAGGAGCUUCAGCACUACCGGCUGGUGCCCUGUUACCCGUCAGCCGGAUGCCUGUACAGCCUGGGUACCUGCCCGGGUCUCGCCCCCAACCAUCAGGUCCUUCUGUACAACCUGGACGACAAUGGAUGACUGCCUCUUUUCAACUCUGGGAAAUGCAACGUCAGUUCAUGUUAACGGCACGUGGACAAAAACAACCCGGAGGAAAGCUUUCCUCUCUGGGGUUUUCCACUUAAAGACCUUCGAGGGAACAUGUGUCGUGGGGUCUGUUUUGUUCGUUGCCAGGAUGUGUCCUCCUCUCGAGGCAGCGGUGGAUCUGAGAAACCCUGAUUCUUCUUCUGCCUCAGGAUCAACAGGGUCUCUGAUGUUGAUGUCAAACUCUGUCGCAGCGUCACUGCCAUUCACUCUGAAGCAGUAAAGGAUUUUAUUUUUGUUUUGUUUCUGUUGCUGUUGAUGUUGUGUUAUUGUUGCUCAUGUGAACCGUGAGCGUAUUCAGGGAUUUACAGACUGCAGGCUACUUUUUGAUGCACCUUGGCUUGCGUGGAGAAUAUGCGCUGAUAUGCUUCUGUUAUCUUUUUAUGCUACAAUGUGAUUUAUGAAAUAUUCUGUGUAAACAUUCCCUGGACCGUGUGAAUUGUCAUACUAUCUCAAGAUAUCCUCUGAGGUGCUUUACUGCCUGUGGGAAGACUGUUUCUCUCUCUGUAUUUGACGUCCUGUGUUCAUUUUGCAUCACUUUGCUGCCCUCUGCUGGUGAAAGAAUUAAUUUUGAAGCCCUCGUUAGUGGCUGAUGUGUUCAAAUCUCAUAAUGCAAGAAAGAAAUUGAAGACAACACUUGACUUUAAGGCCCCUUAUUUAGUAUUUAUAAGCAAUAUACAAUAAUUUAAUAAUUUAUAACAGACGAUAAUGCAGUUGUAAGCAUAUAUAAGUGUUUAAUCAUGUAUUUCUCAACCACUAUAACUCCUCCUGUGGGCACCUAUAAGUGGAGGCUGGUGUAUAAACAUAUUGAAUGACAGUAAAAUACAGAUAUAAUAAUAUAAAAUAUGCUUUCUUAGGAGAAGUUGUUGAAAAAGACUGUACAUUAACACUUAAAAUGCCCUUUAAAUCUACAUACAUACAGUAUAUUGUAUUAUAAACCAUAUUAAGUGUUUGUAUAGUGCUUAUAAAUAGUUAAGGUUAAAGUAAAGUUUAACCUAAAAGGGCAAUCAUGUUUUUUUGUUGUUUUCACUUGUCAGUUUUUGCUUUGUUGUGGUUUAAAAAAAAGAAAGAUGGCAUCUCUUCUCAUUGUCUUCAGCUCUAAGAAGUCACAACAUUUUUUUCUUUCUGCUACCAAAUCAUUUGUUUGUGAAUGAUUUCCCGCCAUGUGGUGUUUUAAAGCUGAAUUUCAGAGAGCAGAAUGUCUUUAAAUUGAUAUUAUAUUCCAGAUUUUCUCAGUCCGGGCUAAACAGCUGCUGCAAUGCUGUGACAGGGACUUCAGAAGAUAUUUUAUUAUUUAAUGUGGCACAAUGUUUGCUUUAUAAAGCUGACUAAUCUGCUGUAAGACAACAGUGAUUAAUGAUUCAUCCUUUUCUAGUGUCUCUGUAUGUGUUUUGAGUCUCUGUCCAGGAGUUUCACUGGGUUUGAAAACUUGUAUCUUGAUAACAAUCACUACAAUGGAAAAAAAACAACAACAACAAACUGCAGGCAACUAUUAAAGAGAAGCUUGAUAUUUUAAAACAAGAAUUUAUAUUUUGAUGAAAGUGCAUAUUCCAUAUUUAAGAUAAACUAUUUUGAAAAAGGGCCAUUCAACUUUUUUUCAGGUGAUUGAUUAUCAAAUAAAGUAUGUAAGGUGAA